rnacentral:rRNA from 1 species
AUUGAACGCUGGCGGCAUGCUUUACACAUGCAAGUCGAACGGUAACAGGGUGCUUGCACCGCUGACGAGUGGCGAACGGGUGAGGAAUGCGUCGGAACGUGCCGAGUAGGGGGGGAUAACGCAGCGAAAGGUGUGCUAACACCGAAUAUGUACUGAGGUAGAUAGUGGGGGACCUUGGGGUCUCACGCUACUCGAGCGGCAGACGCCGGAUUAGCUAGUAGGUGAGGUAAAGGCUCACCUAGGCGACGAUCAGUAGCGGGUCUGAGAGGAUGAUCCGCCACACUGGGACUGAGACACGGCCCAGACUCCUACGGGAGGCAGCAGUGGGGAAUAUUGGACAAUGGGCGAAAGCCUGAUCCAGCCAUGCCGCGUGUCUGAAGAAGGCCUUCGGGUUGUAAAGUACUUUUGUCAGGGAGGAAAACCCUAGUGCUAAUAACACUGGCGGAUGACAGUACCUGUAGAAUAAGCACCGGCUAACUACGUGCCAGCCGCCGCAGUAA